rnacentral:rRNA from 1 species
UAAUACGUAAGGGGCGAGCGUUGUUCGGAAUUAUUGGGUGUAAAGGGCGCGUAGGCGGCGCUGCAAGUCCGGUGUUUAAGGCGACGGCUCAACCGUCGUUAUGCGCUGGAAACUGUGGUGCUGGAGUCUAGGAGGGGGAGCCGGAAUUCCAGGUGUAGGGGUGAAAUCUGUAGAUAUCUGGAGGAACAUCGGUGGCGAAGGCGGGCUCCUAGCCAUAGACUGACGCUGAGGCGCGAAAGCGUGGGGAGCAAACAGG